GACGAACGCUGGCGGCGUGCUUAACACAUGCAAGUCGAACGGAAAGGCCCUGCUUUUGUGGGGUGCUCGAGUAGCGAACGGGUGAGUAACACGUGAGUAACCUGCCCUUGACUUUGGGAUAACUUCAGGAAACUGGGGCUAAUACCGGAUAGGAGCUCCUGCUGCAUGGUGGGGGUUGGAAAGUUUCGGCGGUUGGGGAUGGACUCGCGGCUUAUCAGCUUGUUGGUGGGGUAGUGGCUUACCAAGGCUUUGACGGGUAGCCGGCCUGAGAGGGUGACCGGCCACAUUGGGACUGAGAUACGGCCCAGACUCCUACGGGAGGCAGCAGUGGGAAAUAUUGCACAAUGGGCGGAAGCCUGAUGCAGCAACGCCGCGUGCGGGAUGACGGCCUUCGGGUUGUAAACCGCUUUCGCCUGUGACGAAGCGUGAGUGACGGUAAUGGGUAAAGAAGCACCGGCUAACUACGUG
rnacentral:rRNA from 1 species